rnacentral:lncRNA from 1 species
GCGUUUGGGUAACCCUUGGCCUGGCCUGCACUCAGUCCUGCCCUUAGGUCUGAAUCUGUUCGUGCCCCUUUGCUGAAGGUCCAAUAACCACCCCCGCUCCACUCCAAGUUAUUUUAAACUCGUUUUAGAAAGGAGGGACUGCAGGCUUUAGGUAAAAAUCUCCAGCAUGGUUCAUGAGAUUCAUUUUCUCCUCUGUUUUGCAGCAGUUCCCAUUCUCUUAUACAUUGCCUUGGCACAGCCUGUAAUGGAAAUUGGGAAUUCUGUUCUGAAAUAUCUCCUGGAAACAUGACUGCAGGGUUUUUUCUGCAUCGAGAAAGCUGGAGUGAAAGUAGAUUUUUUAGGGAUCCAUCUGGCUAGUAUGUUCCAAGGCACCUACCUGUAUUUUCUCCAUAAGCAUGGAUAAAAGUGGGGCAGGAAGACGAUGCAUUAAUCAUGGCUCAGCAGAAUUAUGGUCACUGAUAGAUGGAGAGACACCCACUGCCAUGCUGGGAGACAAGGUUAAAUGGGAGCCAGUACUGUAUGUGCAGUGAGAGAUCUCUCAAACCUGAGAUCAAAGCUUCUUAGUCAGGAAAGCCUGACCUUCUGUGGAAGACUGGGAAAAUUCCUACAGACAAAAAUCAGGCUUCUAAAUAUAAAGGCAUUAAAGUCAUGCUAUGUCUUUUAAUGAAAGAAUUACUGUAACAGCAGCAAGUAGUGCAGAAAUGCACGUUAUUAACCGUAUGCAGUUUGUCCUGCAGGUUUAAAAUAAUUAAAUAUUGUUUCUGAGACUGGGGGUGCUCUUUUCCCCCUCUUUUUUAAUGCACUCCCCCUCUCAUUUCCAUGCAGAUUCCUGACACAGCUGCCAGCCCAC